ACGUAUAAAAGAAUUAUAAGUCUAUUGACUGUCUAAAGUCAAGUAGAUAAUUCGGACCUUGAAUUGAGUAAUCUAAUCCUUUAUUUUUAGAAAGUCAUUUAAUUUUGACCUUUUUAUAUCUGCUUGAUAAGUUUUUAUUAUAACUUUGAAAAAUUUGCAAAAUCCAGUUUAUAAAUUCUUUCAGUUGUUUUAAAUCGUAUUUAACAAUAUGGAUCAUAGAUUUAAAAUUUUAUCAUCUGGAACAACUUUAUGAAUACGAAGUCGGUCGAUCGUAUUCAUAAUAGUAUAAUAUCUGAGCUCUUUUAAUAAUAUAACAUUUUACAGAGAAG
rnacentral:lncRNA from 1 species